rnacentral:lncRNA from 10 species
GCCUCAGCCUCCCAAGUAGUUGGGACUACAGGCGCCCGCUACCAUGCCUGGCUAAUUUUUUUGUAAUUUUAGUAGAGUCGGGGUUUCACCAUGUUAGCCAGGAUGGUCUCGCUAUCCUGACCUCCUGAUCCACCAGCCUCGGCCUCCCCAAGUGCUGGGAUUACAGGCGUGAGCCACCGCGCCCAGCCUACAGUGCUUCUUUAAGGCUAAGAAAGCCUUCACUUCCAACAGCAGUAUCUCUUGGAAGGCCAGUUUUGAAGAAACAAAGUGGCCAUUCCCUUUUUUUUCCUUCCUGCUUCUUAUGCACUGGAAUCAUUGGGAUCUAUAGGACUGAUCAACCGCAGCAGUUUUAACAGAUUUAAUCCUUCCCAACCUUCAUUUACCUUGAAUAUGC